rnacentral:tRNA from 1 species
GGAGGCGUGGCAGAGCGGUUGAAUGCACUGGUCUUGAAAACCAGCAAGGGUGAAAGCCCUUCAGAGGUUCGAAUCCUCUCGCCUCCGCAA